CAGGAUUGUGGGCGAGGUCGGUGCCAAGAUCCGAGUCUUAGACUUCAUUUCUCCCGAUGUCCAGGAGCGAACGCGAUGGUCUUGAAGUUGUUAGAAAUCCAAAGAGGCCUAUCGGCGCUUGGAUACAUUACUAUAACGAUCAAUUAGCCAUGAUGAAAGAGAAGGAUAAAGGA